UUACUAUAAAUUUCAUUGUUGCCGGUAUUGACAUGUAGAAUAGGACUCUAUCUUUAUUCUCGUCCGAUUA
rnacentral:tRNA from 1 species